rnacentral:lncRNA from 1 species
GCGGGGUCAUUAAUUGUUGUCUUGGGCCUAUUAGGGGCCUAAAACUUGACAAAUUCUGAUAAAACUUGGCAUGAUUUAAGCUUAGUAUAUUAUAAAACAGUUUACAAAGUUUCAAAGCCAUAUGAUACCAAAUAAAAAAAAUGUGGCAUUUUUUAUAUCUGAACUUUGGGUGCUGAAUUGUGGCGUUGAAUUAGAACAAUUUCAACUAUCAAAU